rnacentral:misc_RNA from 1 species
CAGGCCUCCCUCUGCUUGGUUCCAGUCGUGGGCAUGAGUGAGGGGCGAUGCUUGAUGGCUUUGAUGCCAUCGGUGGGAAUGUGUUUAAGCAUCGGCCUUCCCUCAUGACCACGAUGGUCUACAGUCUUGUGUACGAGUUAGUGACGUCGCUUGUUUGUUUUGAUGCUUGCGUUGGAACUUGCUUAAGCAACCGACCUGACGAAGUACCCAUGAAUGUCACUCAUGAUGGUCUACAGUCUUGCGUACGAGUUAGUGACGUCGCUUGUUUGUUUUGAUGCUUGCGUUGGAACUUGCUUAAGCAACCGACCUGACGAAGUACCCAUGAAUGUCACCUAUGAUGGUCUACAGUCUUGCGUACGAGUUAGUGACGUCGCUUGUUUGUUUUGAUGCUUGCGUUGGAACUUGCUUAAGCAACCGACCUGACGGAGUACCCAUGAAUGUCGUUCAUGAUGGUCUACAGUCUUGGGUAUGAGUCAGUGACGAUGCUUGUUUGUUUUGAUGCUUGCGUUUGAACUUGCUUAAGCAACCGACCAGACGAAGUACACAUGAAUGUCGCCCAUGAUGGUCUACAGUCUUGGGUAUGAGUCAGUGACGAUGCUUGUUUGUUUUGAUGCUUGCGUUUGAACUUGCUUAAGCAACCGACCAGACGAAGUACACAUGAAUGUCGCCCAUGAUGGUCUACAGUCUUGGGUAUGAGUCAGUGACGAUGCUUGUUUGUUUUGAUGCUUGCGUUUGAACUUGCUUAAGCAACCGACCUGACGAAGUACCCAAGAAUGUUCAACCUAGUAGGGACGUGUCCCUGCGCCCAACGACUUUUGUCGGGAUCGUGGCAAGUCUGCGAUCCAGGGGGUGAUGUUGAGAGCCGGAAGGCAAGGGGGUGCAAACACUAGUCUGCCUUUGUCCCGAUUGCCGAGUGUUAUGUGCUUGAUGUCCAAGGCUUGAUGCUGAUCCUCCAAGUGGGGCUUGUCCCUGCACCAAUGGCUUUUGCCAGGAUCAUGGCGUUUGUUAUGAUCGAAAAACUGAGGGGGUGAUGUUUAGAGCUGGAAGGCAAGGGGGUGCAAACACCAGUCGGCCUUUGUCCCGAUUGCUGAGUGUUUUGUGCUUGAUGUCCAAGGCUUGAAGCUGACCCUCCAAGUGGGGGCUUUUUUGUUCCUGCGAUAACGACUCUGUUGGGAUCAUUGUGAUCAAGUUUGGUUGGUUUCGUAUUGUGGUGGGUUUUUUCGAAGCUUCUAUCGUUCUUUUACGCAUCGUGCGGUGCAUCUUGGGGGCUGUUUUGGCUUUUGGUUGCUUGCUUGGGCUUUAUGCUAGGCGGGUGGCUAAU